AUUGAACGCUGGCGGCAGGCCUAACACAUGCAAGUCGAGCGAGCGGCGGACGGGUGAGUAAUGUAUGGGGACUGCCCGAUCGAGGGGGAUAACUACUGGAAACGGUGGCUAAUACCGCAUACUAUCGGAUAACCCAUAUGGGAUUAGCUAGUAGGUGGGGUAAAGGCUCACCUAGGCGACGAUCUCUAGCUGGUCUGAGAGGAUGAUCAGCCACACUGGGACUGAGACACGGCCCAGAGUCCUACGGAGGCAGCAGUGGGGAAUAUUGCACAAUGGGCGAAAGGCUGAUAGAGCCAUGCCGCGUGUAUGAAGAAGGCCUUAGGGUUGUAAAGUACUUUCAGCGGGGAGGCGUUACCCGAAGAAGAAGCAACGGCUAACUCCGUGCCAGCAGCCGCGGUAAUAC
rnacentral:rRNA from 1 species